UCCGAUGGAUCCGAGGGAUCCGAUGGAUCCGAGGGAUCCGAUGGAUCCGAGGGAUCCGAUGGAUCCUAGGGAUCCGAUGGAUCCUAGGGAUCUGAUGGAUCCGAGGGAUCUGAUGGAUCCGAGGGAUCUGAUGGAUCCGAUGGAUCUGAUGGAUCUGAUGGAUCCGAGGGAUCCGAGGGAUCUGAUGGAUCCGAGGGA
rnacentral:sRNA from 1 species